CUGGGACCCAGCGCAUGGAAGAAGCCAGCAGGGACUGGCGGAUGAUCCAUGGAGUCCCAGGGCAGACUCUAGCUCAGCUGGGGAAUCCUGCAGUCAAGUCUGGACUGAGCAGUUUGCAUUUAAAAGACCUUGUUUUCCCCAGAACCUAAGGCUCAGGGAAACAGACUGGAUUGAACACCUAGGUUUCUCACCAGCUGUGCCAGCGUGGAGAUGUGGAGCUCCGGUUGGCCACCCUGCAGGAGGUUUUGGCCUCAGCUCCAGCUGGCCCCGAGCCUGGCUCUCUGCAGCCCCUGUCUUCCCACGAUCUGACUGAGAGUCCACAGGGCCUUCUUGGCGUUGAAAACACGAGGACGUCCCGCCGGGCGUGAAAUCAACGCAGCCAGAACCUCCUGUGAAUUUCAAGGGCUGCGCACUGGGAGCCCUGGACCGUCGCUCUGGCCCCAGGACACCGAGACGCUGAAGAGAU
rnacentral:lncRNA from 1 species